rnacentral:tRNA from 1 species
GCCGGCGUAGCUCAGUUGGUAGAGCAGCCCACUUGUAAUGGGCAGGCCGUGGGUUCGAUCCCUGCCGCCGGCACCA